rnacentral:tRNA from 1 species
AAUAAAGGUAAGCUAAGUAUAAAGCUAUUAGAUUCAUAAUUUAAAAAUGUAUGUUACUCUUUUUUU